rnacentral:rRNA from 1 species
AGGACGAACGCUGGCGGCGUGCUUAACACAUGCAAGUCGAGCGGAAAGGCCCUUCGGGGUACUCGAGCGGCGAACGGGUGAGUAACACGUGAGCAACCUGCCCUUAGCUCCGGGAUAGCUCCGGGAAACCGGAAUUAAUACCGGAUAUGACCUAGGCCGACAUCGGCUGUGGUGGAAAGUUUUUUCGGCUGGGGAUGGACUCGCGGCCUAUCAGCUUGUUGGUGGGGUAAUGGCCUACCAAGGCGACGAC